rnacentral:rRNA from 1 species
CCUACGGGUGGCAGCAGUGAGGAAUAUUGGUCAAUGGGCGGGAGCCUGAACCAGCCAAGUCGCGUGAGGGAUGACGGCCCUAUGGGUUGUACACCUCUUUUGCCGGGGAGCAAAGUGCCGCCCGUGUGCGGUUUGGAGAGUACCCGGAGAAAAAGCAUCGGCUAACUCCGGGCCAGCAGCCGCGGUAAUACGGAGGAUGCGAGCGUUAUCAGGAUUUAUUGGUUUUAAAGGGUGCGUAGGCGGACGCUUAAGUCAGCGGUAACAUUGCGGGGGUCAACCUCGUCGAGCCGUUGACACUGGGGGCCUUGAGUGAGCGAGAAGUACGAGGAAUGCGUGGUGUAGCGGUGAAAUGCAUAGAUAUCACGCAGAAGUCCGAUUGCGAAGGCAGCGUACCGGCGCCCAACUGACGCUGAAGCACGAAGGCGUGGGUAUCGAACAGGAUUAGAUACCCCUGUAGUC